AACACCAAAACCCUUUGUAAAUACCGCUUUUGUUUUUGUUUCUGUGUUUAUCUUGAAUUCUUUCACAAAUUUUGAUUACACAAGGGACUGUGUAAUUUAAGUUUGGGGGAGGGUUCAAGACGUAUUUGACUU
rnacentral:sRNA from 1 species